UAGCUCAGUUGGUAGAGCAUGGUGUUUGCAACGCCAGGGCAACGCCAGGGUUGUGGGUUCGAUUCCCAC
rnacentral:tRNA from 1 species